rnacentral:rRNA from 1 species
GACGAACGCUGGCGGCGUGCUUAACACAUGUAAGUCGAACGGAAAGGCCCUGCUUUUGUGGGGUGCUCGAGUGGCGAACGGGUGAGUAACACGUGAGUAACCUGCCCUUGACUUUGGGAUAACUUCAGGAAACUGGGGCUAAUACCGGAUAGGAGCUCCUGCUGCAUGGUGGGGGUUGGAAAGUUUCGGCGGUUGGGGAUGGACUCGCGGCUUAUCAGCUUGUUGGUGGGGUCGUGGCUUACCAAGGCUUUGACGGGUAGCCGGCCUGAGAGGGUGACCGGCCACAUUGGGACUGAGAUACGGCCCAGACUCCUACGGGAGGCAGCAGUGGGGAAUAUUGCACAAUGGGCGGAAGCCUGAUGCAGCAACGCCGCGUGCGGGAUGACGGCCUUCGGGUUGUAAACCGCUUUCGCCUGUGACGAAGCGUGAGUGACGGUAAUGGGUAAAGAAGCACCGGCUAACUAGGUG